GCUUACCAUGCAGUCGACGAUGAAGCCCAGCUUGCUGGGUGGAUUAGUGGCGAACGGGUGAGUAACACGUGAGUAACCUGCCCUUAACUCUGGGAUAAGCCUGGGAAACUGGGUCUAAUACCGGAUAGGAGCGUCCACCGCAUGGUGGGUGUUGGAAAGAUUUAUCGGUUUUGGAUGGACUCGCGGCCUAUCAGCUUGUUGGUGAGGUAAUGGCUCACCAAGGCGACGACGGGUAGCCGGCCUGAGAGGGUGACCGGCCACACUGGGACUGAGACACGGCCCAGACUCCUACGGGAGGCAGCAGUGGGGAAUAUUGCACAAUGGGCGCAAGCCUGAUGCAGCGACGCCGCGUGAGGGAUGACGGCCUUCGGGUUGUAAACCUCUUUCAGUAGGGAAGAAGCGAAAGUGACGGUACCUGCAGAAGAAGCACCGGCUAACUACGUGCCAGCAGCCGCGGUAAUACGUAGGGUGCGAGCGUUAUCCGGAAUUAUUGGGCGUAAAGAGCUCGUAGGCGGUUUGUCGCGUCUGUCGUGAAAGUCCGGGGCUUAACCCCGGAUCUGCGGUGGGUACGGGCAGACUAGAGUGCAGUAGGGGAGACUGGAAUUCCUGGUGUAGCGGUGGAAUGCGCAGAUAUCAGGAGGAACACCGAUGGCGAAGGCAGGUCUCUGGGCUGUAACUGACGCUGAGGAGCGAAAGCAUGGGGAGCGAACAGGAUUAGAUACCCUGGUAGUCCAUGCCGUAAACGUUGGGCACUAGGUGUGGGGACCAUUCCACGGUUUCCGCGCCGCAGCUAACGCAUUAAGUGCCCCGCCUGGGGAGUACGGCCGCAAGGCUAAAACUCAAAGGAAUUGACGGGGGCCCGCACAAGCGGCGGAGCAUGCGGAUUAAUUCGAUGCAACGCGAAGAACCUUACCAAGGCUUGACAUGUUCUCGAUCGCCGUAGAGAUACGGUUUCCCCUUUGGGGCGGGUUCACAGGUGGUGCAUGGUUGUCGUCAGCUCUGGUCGUGAGAUGUUGGGUUUAAGUCCCGCAACGAGUGCCAUCCUUCGUUCCAUGGUUGCCAUCACCUAAUCGUCGGGGGACUCAUGGGAAAACUGUCCGGGUUCAACUCUUAAGGAAGUGUGAUGAAGACCUCUAAAUCCAUCAUGGCCCUCUAAGUUCUUGGGCUCUUCCGU
rnacentral:rRNA from 1 species